GUUCAUAGCUCACUCGGUAGAGCACGGAACUCUUAAUCUCAGAGUCAUGGGUUUGAGUCCCUUGUGGUGCA